GAUUUCUGACGAUUUGAUUUCAGGCCGGCCACGGUUUCGUGUGUUAGUGCUUGAAAUCUUCGUCAUCCUUCCAAUGGCUAUUCAUCCUUCUUCAUUGAGGUGGUGAGUGGUAUUGGAUCUUUUACUUUGAAAAAGUUAGAGUGUUUCAAGCAGGCUUUAUGCUACGAAUACAUUAGCAUGGAAUAAUAAUUUAGGACUUCGGUUCUAUUUUGUUGGUUUCUAGGACUGAAGUAAUGAUUGAUAGGGAUAGUUGGGGGUGCUAGUAUUCAGCGGCCAGAGGUGAAAUUCUCGGAUUCGCUGAAGACUAACUUAUGCGAAAGCAUU
rnacentral:rRNA from 1 species